rnacentral:misc_RNA from 1 species
GUAACUGCUGAUGGAUCAGGGUCACACAUGGUUGGUGUCUUACGUGAUUUAGAGCCAUCAAAAUUAACAGGAAUAGUUGGAACCAGUGUUUCUACUGAAAAGCAACUUAUUGAGAGUGAGUGCAGAUCUAGUUGUUCUAAAAUAUCUUCACAAUCUGGCCCACAGCAUAAUUCUGAGGAUUCUCUUCAUUUGCGCCUUAGUCCAUCUUUUCAUUCUUUUAACAGUCAGGAACCUUCUAGUUCAUCUGCUAAUAAAGACUCCCAGACUGCUAUUCCUAAUAUUAGCUUCCCUAAAGGAUUGUUAUCAGCAGGCAACACUGUUAACCCUAGAAUCAUGUUUGAGACUAUCAUCAAAUGGUUCAGAUUUUAUGGUU